rnacentral:rRNA from 1 species
UUUUUACGGGAGGCAGCAGUGGGGAAUAUUGCACAAUGGGGAAACCCUGAUGCAGAGACGCCGCGUGAGUGAAGAAGUACUUCGGUAUGUAAAGCUCUAUCAGCAGGGAAGAAAUGACGGUACCUGAGUAAGAAGCCCGGCUAACUACGUGCCAGCAGCCGCGGUAAUAAA